rnacentral:rRNA from 1 species
UGCCAGCCGCCGCGGUAAUACGAAGGGACCUAGCGUAGUUCGGAAUUACUGGGCUUAAAGAGUUUGUAGGUGGUUGAAAAAGUUAGUGGUGAAAUCCCAAGGCUUAACCUUGGAACUGCCACCAAAACUUUUUAGCUAGAGUAUGAUAGAGGUAAGUGGAAUUUCUAGUGUAGAGGUGAAAUUCGUAGAUAUUAGAAAGAACACCAAUUGCGAAGGCAACUUUCUGGAUCAUUACUGACACUGAGGAGCGAAAGCAUGGGUAGCGAAGAGGAUUAGAUA